CUAUUUUUCCCACAUAUGGAAUUUCCUGUCACAAAAUAUGAUUGUAAAAAAAUGGCAAACGUGAAAAAAAAUAGUCGGAGUAACAUCAAAGAAAUAACGGUUAAAAAAUUAAUGAUAUGUAAAUUCGUGACUCGUCCGUAAAACGCAAAAGACAUCGGCAAUGCAGAUACUUCGUGGAUCAAUGAAAGUUCCAUUAAAGUGUAGCAGUGGAGACGAUGUUGGAAUACGCCGAUCACACCUGUAAUAUCACCAAUGCGCAACGCGAAGACGGCCGGCGCCUUCC